AGUCAUACGCUCGUCUCAAAGAUUAAGCCAUGCAUGUGUAAGUAUAAGCGAAUUUAUACUGUGAGACUGCGAACGGCUCAUUAUAUCAGUUAUAGUUUAUUUGAUAAAUAACUUACUACAUGGAUAACCGUAGUAAUUCUAGAGCUAAUACAUGCACCAAGUCCCGACUGUUAUGGAAGGGAUGUAUUUAUUAGAUAUCAACCAUCUCGCUCCGGCGGUGUUUGGUGAGUCAUAAUAACUUUGCGGAUCGCAGGGGCCUUAGUGCCGGCGAUGAAUCAUUCAAGUUUCUGCCCUAUCAGCUUUCGAUGGUAGUGUAUUGGACUACCAUGGCGGUGACGGGUAACGGAGAAUUAGGGUUCGAUUCCGGAGAGGGAGCCUGAGAGAUGGCUACCACAUCCAAGGAAGGCAGCAGGCGCGUAAAUUACCCAAUCCCAAUUCGGGGAGGUAGUGACAAUAAAUAUCAAUGCGGGGGCCAACGGCUCUUGCAAUUGGAAUGAGUACAAUUUAAAUCCCUUAACGAGGAUCAAU
rnacentral:rRNA from 1 species